rnacentral:rRNA from 1 species
GGGGAAUAUUGCACAAUGGGCGCAAGCCUGAUGCAGCCAUGCCGCGUGUGUGAAGAAGGCCUUCGGGUUGUAAAGCACUUUCAGCGAGGAGGAAGGCGUUAAGGUUAAUAACCUUAGCGAUUGACGUUACUCGCAGAAGAAGCACCGGCUAACUCCGUGCCAGCAGCCGCGGUAAUACGGAGGGUGCAAGCGUUAAUCGGAAUUACUGGGCGUAAAGCGCACGCAGGCGGUUUGUUAAGUCGAUGUGAAAUCCCCGAGCUUAACU